rnacentral:rRNA from 1 species
AGGGUUCGAUUCUGGCUCAGGACGAACGCUGGCGGCGUGCUUAACACAUGCAAGUCGAGCGAUGAAGCUCCUUCGGGAGUGAAUUAGCGGCGGACGGGUGAGUAACACGUGGGUAACCUGCCUCAUAGAGGGGAAUAGCCUUUCGAAAGGAAGAUUAAUACCGCAUAAGAUUGUAGUACCGCAUGGUACAGCAAUUAAAGGAGUAAUCCGCUAUGAGAUGGACCCGCGUCGCAUUAGCUAGUUGGUGAGGUAACGGCUCACCAAGGCGACGAUGCGUAGCCGACCUGAGAGGGUGAUCGGCCGCAUUGGGACUGAGACACGGCCCAGACUCCUACGGGAGGCAGCAGUGGGGAAUAUUGCACAAUGGGGGGAAAAACCCCUGAUGCAGCAACGCCGCGUGAGUGAUGACGGCCUUCGGGUUGUAAAACUCUGUCUUUGGGGACGAUAAUGACGGUACCCAAGGAGGAAGCCACGGCUAACUACGUGCCAGCCGCCGC